AAAUAUCUUCAACCGCAUGUCGAAUGCUCGGUUAGAGACGAAAGGGAAGGAUAUGAGGGGUGGCCUUGGGAUCAAGAUGAGGACGGUGAUUCAGAACAUAGGCGAUGCUUGUGAAUGGUGUCAUUCACUCAAGAGGAGGGCAGAGUGGUCGUAGUAGAGGAGUGGCGCUUAGGAGGAAGAGGAUGCUUGGGAAAAGAGUCAACACAGAUGGUGCUAGCUCUCUGUGAUUUACAUAGGAGAGAAGGUAGUUAGGUUCCAUUCACUCAAGAGAGCAAUGGAGUGCUUGAAUAUUUCUUUUUUUCUUUUUAUUUUUACACUGAGGUGGCUAGACUCCCUCAUGUGGCGAAAAAGAAUUGGUCUGAUGUACUGUUGAGCUGGUACAUCAGGCGUAGGAUAUAAAUUUUUCAUCUAAUCUCAUCUAUAUCAUCGCCUUUCCUAGCAUCUCCUCCGCCCUAUCCCCAUCUAUUUCCGCUUCGCCUCAGUGUCGUUCAUUACUACUGCCUCCAUCAGCUCCUUCAUAAACUCCUCUAUGUCCAUCAGCUCUUGUAGGCCCACUAUAUAUCAUCACCACCUACUGCGAUAGCGCCACCAAGCUUCUCGUUCGACCUGCACUUGCUCCAUUCAUCCGACUGACCAGUUUGUGGACAUGGUCCAAAAUAAUGACCUGCAAGUGAUCAUAAAGGAUAAUAAUACCAUAGUGUAUGGGUUACAUUUAUGUAUCCCUUUUUUUGUUAGCAUAGUGUUUCUAAUGGGAGUAUAAUGAUAGGCUUGGAGGGGGUAUGGUCAUAUCAUCAAAUUCUAAUGUUUCUCUUCUUUAUUUUAUCAUUUCUUCGUUAUGUCAACAACUGGUGCCAUAUAUUUGGAUACUAACUUCGAAUUCUCUAUGGUAUGUAUUUUGCACAAUGGACAGUUGUUUACGCUCAGAGAGCUGCUUUGCUCAUCUUGAAAAUAGGGGGAUCUUGUACAAUCUCUCACCCCACAUAUUCAGAACACAAAUACUCUCUAUUGACCUCUCUAACAUAUGGUUGCGGGAUUGCGGGAAAGCUCUUUGUUUCCGAAAUGAGUCCCAUGGUGGUUGUUCAAGCAUGCACAACUCCAUACAAUGCAAAACAUAUAUCAUGAACGAUCCAAACUCUUGGAUAGGCGUCAGGAUCCUCAAUGAUAUUUAUUAUGCAUUGCAGAAGACUGUACAGUCCUGGAUAGUUGCUACAUCUUCCAUCUCGGAGUGAUAGCUAGCUCUCCUUCUUUUCGCACUGAAUCGUAUAUCACGCUGAACGUAACAUGUUCAGAUUUCCCGGAUGAAGGAGAGCUAUGCAUUAUCAAGAUGGUUGAUAUAGUGGCUAUAUAAUCCUGCGAAAUACAUGCCUCCGAGAACCUUUGAACCUUUGGAUAUUAGUUAGCAGGUGGAUAACAUAAAAUUAUCCAGCUAACCAACCAAACACCUGAUUAAAAGCCUGAAUAAUAUUAUGUAGUCAACAAGCCCAAAAGAUACGUAAGGGUAAAAGUAAUUUUAGGGGGAGAGUGAACUAACUUAAACUACACCUGCAGCCUCAAUCUUCCCUAUCAAUUUUAUCCUUGGAUAUAAUUUGUUUGCAUCUCUUUAUUACCAUUUCUUCACUUUUUGCAAGAUGGCAGUAAUGGUGGACAGGGAGGACCAACCAAAGGAGGAAUAACUUUAUUCACCGCUCGCAAGGGAUGAAUACCAAGGACUAUAAGUUAUCCACGGGUGGCAUCAAAAGGCAAUCUUAUCGUUUUACUUUGGAUCUUCCUCUUUUCCUGCGCGUCUGGCCUUGGUUGUCUCUUUUCUCAUCUUUCAUCUUUAUUUUUCUGGUUUUCAACUUACUUGGUGUGGUUCCAAGCUGAGAUAAGGUCUCAUCCCUUCUUCCCUGCCCUUUGCCUCU
rnacentral:lncRNA from 1 species